UUCAGCACGUAGAAGCAUCCUAAUACUGGAAUGACACAGAGAAGAGUAACGUGGCACCACCCCUGCGCAAGCAUGACAUGCAAAUGCGUGAAGCGUUCCAUAUUUUU
ensembl:snRNA U6 U6 spliceosomal RNA